CCUGGGCUCGAAGCACAGUGGACCGGGGUAGAAAUAUCCCUUUUCGCAAGAACUGCUGUGGAGGUGCUGCAUGGCUGUCGUCAGCUCGUGUCGUGAGAUGUUGGGUUAAGUCCCGCAACGAGCGCAACCCUUAUCGUUAGUUGCCAUCAGGUCAAGCUGGGCACUCUAGCGAAACCGCCCCGGAUAACGGGGAGGAAGGUGGGGAUGACGUCAAGUCCUCAUGGCCUUUAUGUCCAGGGCUACACACGUGCUACAAUGGUCGGUACAAACCGUCGCAAACCUGCGAAGGGGAGCUAAUCGGAAAAAGCCGGCCUCAGUUCGGAUUGGAGUCUGCAGCUCGACUCCAUGAAGCUGGAAUCGCUAGUAAUCGCGGAUCAGCACGCCGCGGUGAAUACGUUCCCGGGCCUUGUACACACCGCCCGUCACAUCACGAAAGUGGACUGCACUAGGGCCGGUGAGCCAACCGCAAGGGGGCAGCCGUCCAAGGUA
rnacentral:rRNA from 1 species